UGCCAGCAGCCGCGGUAAUAAGUAGGGUGCCAGCGUUGUUCGGAAUUACUGGGCGUAAAGCGCGCGUAGGCGGCUUUUUAAGUCAGAUGCGAAAGUCCACGGCUCAACCGUGGAGGUGCAUUUGAAACUGGAAAGCUUGAGCAUCAGAGGAUGGUGGAAUUCCCGGUGUAGAGGUGAAAUUCGUAGAUAUCGGGAGGAAUACCGGUGGCGAAGGCGACCAUCUGGCUGAAUACUGACGCUGAGGUGCGCAAGCUUGGUGAGCAAACAGGAUUAGAUA
rnacentral:rRNA from 1 species